GGUAUGCUAAUACGGGAUAAUAUAUUUGAGAGGCAUCUCUUAAAUAUCAAAGGUGAGCCAGUACAGGAUGGACCCGCGUCUGAUUAGCUAGUUGGUAAGGUAACGGCUUACCAAGGCGACGAUCAGUAGCCGACCUGAGAGGGUGAUCGGCCACAUUGGAACUGAGACACGGUCCAAACUCCUACGGGAGGCAGCAGUGGGGAAUAUUGCACAAUGGGCGAAAGCCUGAUGCAGCAACGCCGCGUGAGUGAUGAAGGCCUUCGGGUCGUAAAACUCUGUCCUCAAGGAAGAUAAUGACGGUACUUGAGGAGGAAGCCCCGGCUAACUACGUGCCAGCAGCCGCGGUAAUACGUAGGGGGCUAGCGUUAUCCGGAUUUACUGGGCGUAAAGGGUGCGUAGGCGGUCUUUCAAGUCAGGAGUGAAAGGCUACGGCUCAACCGUAGUAAGCUCUUGAAACUGGGAGACUUGAGUGCAGGAGAGGAGAGUGGAAUUCCUAGUGUAGCGGUGAAAUGCGUAGAUAUUAGGAGGAACACCAGUUGCGAAGGCGGCUCUCUGGACUGUAACUGACGCUGAGGCACGAAAGCGUGGGGAGCAAACAGGAUUAGAUACCCUGGUAGUCCACGCUGUAAACGAUGAGUAGUAGGUGUCGGGGGUUACCCCCUUCGGUGCCGCAGCUAACG
rnacentral:rRNA from 1 species